rnacentral:rRNA from 1 species
ACUUGGGCUAAUACCGGAUGAUGUCUAGCGACCAAAGAUUUAUCGCCUUGGGAUAAGCCCGCGUCAGAUUAGGUAGUUGGUGGGGUAACGGCCUACCAAGCCUGCGAUCUGUAGCUGGUCUGAGAGGACGAUCAGCCACAUUGGGACUGAGACACGGCCCAAACUCCUACGGGAGGCAGCAGUGGGGAAUCUUGCGCAAUGGGCGAAAGCCUGACGCAGCCAUGCCGCGUGAAUGAUGAAGGUCUUAGGAUUGUAAAGUUCUUUCGCCCGUGACGAUGAUGACGGUAACGGGAGAAGAAGCCCCGGCUAACUUCGUGCCAGCAGCCGCGGUAAUACGAAGGGGGCUAGCGUUGUUCGGAAUUACUGGGCGUAAAGCGCGCGUAGGCGGGUUUGCAAGCCAGAGGUGAAAUGCCUGAGCUCAACUUAAGAAUUGCCUUUGGGACUGUGAGGCUUUGAGGACUGGAGAGGUGAGUGGAAAUCCCAGUGUAGAGGUGAAAAU